UAGGGAAUCUUCCACAAUGGGCGAAAGCCUGAUGGAGCAACGCCGCGUGUGUGAUGAAGGGUUUCGGCUCGUAAAACACUGUUGUAAGAGAAGAAUGACAUUGAGAGUAACUGUUCAAUGUGUGACGGUAUCUUACCAGAAAGGAACGGCUAAAUACGUGCCAGCAGCCGCGG
rnacentral:rRNA from 1 species